UAACCUCCAAUCAGAGACGGGAUGCCCAGGACUUCAUCCAUUAGGGGACCAGAACUCUGAGCAGGCAGACACCUGCCCAGUUCUGCUCCACCCUGCCAUGGGCUCCAGGCUCCUGUGCUGUGUGGCCCUUUGUCUCCUGGGAGCAGGCCCCAUGGAUGCUGCAAUCACCCAGAAGCCAAGAUACCAUAUUAUACAAUCAGGACAGGAGAUGAUCCUGGAAUGUUCUCAGAAUAUGAAACAUUUUUCAACGUUCUGGUAUGGACAAGACCUAGUACAGGGGCCAAGGCUGAUCCAUUAUUCUAUUGGUGUUGGCAGCACUGCCAAAGGGGAUAUCACGGAAGGGUGCAGUAUCUCCCAAAAGAAGAAUGAGGAUUUCCCCCUGACCCUGGAAUCAGCCAGCAUCAACCAGACCUCCCUGUUCCUCUGUGCCAGCAGUGAAUCCACAGCGCUGCACAGCCAGCUGCUCUCUGCACAAAAAGGGCAGCCACGAGCAUGA